rnacentral:tRNA from 1 species
GGGGAUUUAGCUCAGUGGCAUAAGCACCUGCCUUGCAAGCAGGCGGUUUUGAGUUCAAUCCCUG